UACGUAGGGGCAAGCGUUGUCCGGAAUCAUUGGGCGUAAAGAGCGUGUAGGCGGCCCGGUAAGUCCGCUGUGAAAGUCAAAGGCUCAACCUUUGAAUGUCAGCGGAUACUGCCGGGCUAGAGUCCGGAAGAGGCGAGUGGAAUUCCUGGUGUAGCGGUGGAAUGCGCAGAUAUCAGGAGGAACACCAACGGCGAAGGCAGCUCGCUAGGACGGUACUGACGCUGAGACGCGAAAGCGUGGGGAGCAAACAGG
rnacentral:rRNA from 1 species